rnacentral:rRNA from 1 species
CCUACGCGUGGCAGCAGUGGGGAAUAUUGGGCAAUGGGCGCAAGCCUGACCCAGCAACGCCGCGUGAAGGCAGAAGGCUUUCGGGUUGUAAACUUCUUUUCUGAGGGACGAAGAAAGUGCCGGUACCUCAGGAAUAAGCCACGGCUAACUACGUGCCAGCAGCCGCGGUAAUACGGAGGUGGCAAGCGUUAAUCGGAUUUAAUGGGUGUAAAGGGCGUGUAGGCGGGAAAGCAAGUCAGAUGUGAAAACUCAGGGCUCAACCCUUAGCCUGCAUUUGAAACUGUUUUUCUUGAGUGCUGGAGAAGCAAUCGGAAUGCCGUGUGUAGCGGUGAAAUGCGUAGAUAUACGGAGGAACACCAGUGGCGAAGGCGGAUUGCUGGACAGUAACUGACGCUGAGGCGCGAAAGCGUGGGGAGCAAACAGGAUUAGAUACCCCAGUAGUC